ACGCUCGACACCUAGGAGGCAGCAGUGAGGAAUAUUGGUCAAUGGGCGCUAGCCUGAACCAGCCAAGUAGCGUGAAGGAUGAAGGCUCUAUGGGUCGUAAACUUCUUUUAUAUAAGAAUAAAGUGCAGUAUGUAUACUGUUUUGUAUGUAUUAUAUGAAUAAGGAUCGGCUAACUCCGUGCCAGAAGCCGCGGUAAUCUGAGCGGGCUGGCAAGGC
rnacentral:rRNA from 1 species